GAACUGGUGGUGAGUGCCAGACCGUAGGGGGUGUGAGUCCCGUAGACGAAACUGUCAUUGUCGUGGUGUGACGUUGUUCCCGAGUAGCACGGGGCCCGUGAAAUCUCGUGUGAAUCUGCCAGGACCACCUGGUAAGCCUGAAUACUUCCUGAUGACCGAUAGCGGAUCAGUACCGUGAGGGAAUGGUGAAAAGUACCCCGGGAGGGGAGUGAAAUAGUACCUGAAACCGUGUGCUUACAAGCCGUUGGAGCCUUUUGGGGUGACAGCGUGCCUUUUGAAGAAUGAGCCUGCGAGUUAGUGUUACGUCGCGAGAUUAACCCGUGUGGGGUAGUCGUAGCGAAAGCGAGUCUGAAUAGGGCGUUGUGAGUGGCGUGAUCUAGACCCGAAGCGGAGUGAUCUACCCAUGGCCAGGUUGAAGCGCGUGUAAGAGCGCGUGGAGGACCGAACCCACUUCAGUUGAAAAUGGAGGGGAUGAGCUGUGGGUAGGGGUGAAAGGCCAAUCAAACUCCGUGAUAGCUGGUUCUCCCCGAAAUGCAUUUAGGUGCAGCGUUGCGUGUUGCUUGCUGGAGGUAGAGCUACUGGAUGGCUGAUGGGCCCUACAAGGUUACUGACGUCAACCAAACUCCGAAUGCCAGUCAAGUGUAAGCGUGGCAGUGAGACUGUGGGGGAUAAGCUUCAUAGUCGAAAGGGAAACAGCCCAGACCAUCAACUAAGGCCCCUAAGCGUGUGCUAAGUGGGAAAGGAUGUGGAGUUGCUGAGACAACCAGGAGGUUGGCUUAGAAGCAGCCACCCUUGAAAGAGUGCGUAAUAGCUCACUGGUCAAGUGAUUCCGCGCCGAUAAUGUAGCGGGGCUCAAGUACACCGCCGAAGUUGUGGCAUGACACCGUUAGCUGAGCCGUUUGUGGUUGAGGUGGUGUUGUGGGUAGGGGAGCGUCGUUGGGGUAGUGAAGCUGCGGGGUGACCCAGUGGUGGAACCUCAACGAGUGAGAAUGCAGGCAUGAGUAGCGAUAGACGGGUGAGAAACCCGUCCGCCGGAUGAUCAAGGGUUCCAGGGUCAAGCUAAUCUGCCCUGGGUGAGUCGGGACCUAAGGCGAGGCCGACAGGCGUAGUCGAUGGACAACGGGUUGAUAUUCCCGUACCGAUGAAGAACCGACCCUACUGAGCCGGGGAUACUAACCACCCGAGCCACCAUGACCGUGACCCCUUGUGGGUCGCGGGGUGUGUGGUGAGGCUGGGACCUGAUCCGGGGAGGUAAACGUGUUAACAGGUGUGACGCAGGAAGGUAGCCGAGCCAGGCGAUGGUUGUCCUGGUCUAAGCAUGUAGGGUGACCCGUUGGUAAAUCCGCGGGUUGUGUGCCUGAGAUGUGAUGGGACUCUCUUAGGUGAGNNNNNNNNNNNNNNNNNUCGGCAAAAUGCCCCCGUAACUUCGGGAGAAGGGGGGCCCUGUCUGGUGAGCACACGUGCUGUGUGAGCUGGGUGGGGUCGCAGAGGCUAGGGGGAAGCGACUGUUUAUCAAAAACACAGGUCCGUGCGAAGUCGUAAGACGAUGUAUACGGACUGACUCCUGCCCGGUGCUGGAAGGUUAAGAGGACCUGUUAGACCCUUCGGGGUCGAAGCGGAGAAUUUAAGCCCCAGUAAACGGCGGUGGUAACUAUAACCAUCCUAAGGUAGCGAAAUUCCUUGUCGGGUAAGUUCCGACCUGCACGAAUGGAGUAACGACUUCCCUACUGUCUCAACCAUGAACUCGGCGAAAUUGCAGUACGAGUAAAGAUGCUCGUUUCGCGCAGCAGGACGGAAAGACCCCGAGACCUUUACUAUAGUUUGGUAUUGGUGUUCGGUGUGGCUUGUGUAGGAUAGGUGGGAGACUGUGAAGCUAUCACGCUAGUGGUGGUGGAGUCGUUGUUGAAAUACCACUCUGGUCACUCUGGACAUCUAACUUCGGCCCGUGAUCCGGGUCAGGGACAGUGCCUGAUGGGUAGUUUAACUGGGGCGGUUGCCUCCUAAAGAGUAACGGAGGCGCCCAAAGGUUCCCUCAGCCUGGUCGGCAAUCAGGUGUUGAGUGUAAGUGCACAAGGGAGCUUGACUGUGAGAGUGACAGCUCGAGCAGGGACGAAAGUCGGGACUAGUGAUCCGGCGGUACAUUGUGGAAUGGCCGUCGCUCAACGGAUAAAAGGUACCUCGGGGAUAACAGGCUGAUCUUGCCCAAGAGUCCAUAUCGACGGCAUGGUUUGGCACCUCGAUGUCGGCUCGUCGCAUCCUGGGGCUGGAGUUGGUCCCAAGGGUUGGGCUGUUCGCCCAUUAAAGCGGUACGCGAGCUGGGUUCAGAACGUCGUGAGACAGUUCGGUCCCUAUCCGCUGCGUGCGUUGGAAAUUUGUGGAGGCCUGUCCUUAGUACGAGAGGACCGGGACGGACGAACCUCUGGUAUGUCAGUUGUUCCGCCAGGAGCAUCGCUGAUUAGCUACGUUCGGGAUUGAUAACCGCUGAAAGCAUCUAAGCGGGAAGCUUGCUCCGAGAUGAGAUUUCCUGACCCCCUUUGUGGGGUGUGAGGUGCCCAGUAGACGACUGGGUUGAUAGGCCAGGUGUGGAAGCGUUGUAAGGCGUGGAGCUGACUGGUACUAAUACACCGAAGACUUAUACAC
rnacentral:rRNA from 1 species